AGCUUUGUAGGAUGGCCAUGUUUGGUUAAGAAGAAUGACAGAUGAGCACAGAUGUUUUGCAAAUAUUGCUGGACUCAAUUGCUUUUCCUGUACUCCAUGUGGACUUUCUGACAGUGAAAGAAGGACAUGCUUCAGGAUGUCCAAGAAAUCCCUUACUACCUGAACUCUCAUUACUCAACUAUUUAUCAAAGAAACCCCAAAAUGGAAUGCAAGUUGGUGCAGCCACUUUGGAGAACAGUGUGGAGGUUCCUUAAGAAAUGAAAAAUAGAGCUUCCCCAUGACCCUGCAAUUGCACUACUGGGUAUUUACCCCAAAGAUACAGCUGUAGUGAAAAGAAGGGCCAUCUGUACCCCAAUGUUUACAGCAGCAAUGGCCAUGGUCACCAAACUGUGGAAAGAACCAAGAUGCCCUUCAAUGGACGAAUAGAUAAGGAAGA